rnacentral:tRNA from 1 species
UGGCUCAGUAGGUAGAGCAUGGUGUGUGCAACGCCAGGGUUGUGGGUUUGAUUCCCAC